rnacentral:lncRNA from 1 species
CCAAAAAAAUUAAUUGGAAGAUAUUAUUUAGGUUUCUUAUUUCUAUAUAAGUAUUCAAAAUCUAUGUACUAAAUAGCCAAUGUGCAACUAACAUACCUCCGUGUAGUUCGUAUAUAAUCCUUCUGUUUAAAUCUUGGCAUCGAUCCUCACCAAACUAGAGGUUUAAAUUCAUUCAAAUCUAAUCAUAAACACAAUAAUUGGGCUGACCCAUGUUGUAGUUUCCUCUAAUCCAUAUGGGCCA